UUGCCAACGGCUGAACUGGCAGAGUGAUUGUGGAUAUCCUUCACUACCGAUUUCUUGCAAGCAUAUCGGGCUACACGACAUGCCACAUCACAAAGAUCACC